CGCGCCGACCAUCGUCCGGAGCAUACGAGCAGGCGGCGGAGCGCGGCGGCGGAGGCGGCGGGGCGGCGGGCGGGGGAAGCCCCCCUCGCGCUCCGACGAUCGCGACUUUCGGCUUUCCCGGGGCGGGCGCUCAUUCACCGCGGCCGGGGCUGGCAGCGCGCCGGGCGGGCCCCCCGCCUCAGCGGCCCGCCGCCCAGCCAAUCCUGCCGCAGCCCGGCCGGCUGCGGGAAGGACGGGGGGAAGAAGCAGGCAAGAGCAGAAAGAAGGGAGGAGAGCGGCUGGGGGCGCCGCUCCGGCCGCCGGCGCUGGGCGAAGGGGAGAAGCCUCCGCGUGCUGCGCGCCCCUCCACGCGGCUCCCGACUGCGCGCCACGGAGCUCCGCCAGCGCGCGCGGCGCCCCCGCCCCCCGCCACACGCACACGCACACGCACACGCACACGCGCGGCUGGACAACAAUCGGGCGGCUCCGACAAGUCCCAGCCGUGUGGCUGCCAGACCCCGGGGCGGCUGCGGGGAGAGAGCCAGGGCGCCCUUCUGCCAGCACCUGGGAGAGAGAAACCACAUCCGAAGAGGCCGGGUGUGAGGCGGUGCGGCGAACACACGCUCAUCCCCCGGGCUGGAAGGGGGCAGAUGAGCUGCUGCUGCUUGGAAAGCUCUCUUUGAUGGGGGCGGGGGAUGCCAUCACAAAGCAGGAAUCCCGGGGCUUUUUAUUGCACUGAACUUGUCCCAGCAGGUGCGCGGAGAUGUGCUGGAUGUGCCCGAGCGUCCACUCCAGCACCAGUGACCCGCGUCACCCUGACAAAGAGCGAUCACCGGCCCGCAUGUAACAGUCAGCCGCGAGCCGGAGCUGCACACGUCGGCAUGUAACGAGGCUGAUCCGCGAACAACCGGAACAAAGCGACAGCAGAAAGCCCCAGCUCCGCAUCCGAUCCAAUGGGCUGCAAGGCUGCAGCCGUGUUCCCGCAGGCGCCUCGGAAAGCCCCGACACACCCGCUCUCGUGCUUCAAACCAGCAAGGUCCCGCUUUCCAGCCCCACCUUCCCCACGCCGCGGACACAAAUGGCACGUUUGUAAGUGAAACGAGGCGUCUCUUACAGUGGAAACCGUUUGCCCAGCCCCUAGGCGCUGGGAUUCAUCGGGAUUGCAAGAUCACAGGGUUUUCAGAAGCCACCUGCUCAAGAAGCCUAGCCCUUGCAGUACCAUACCUGGAUACAACACGGUGUGUUAGCCACAGACUACUCAAUCCCUUCCUGUCAUGCUUUUAGGGGGAUGUGUUGGAGUGGGAGAAGCAGCAGAUUGGGGGUGAGAAAAAUGCCCUUCCUUGAAAUACAAUCUAUGUAUAAAGUCCCUUAAUAAAAAACAAAAAAACAAAAAACAUUAUGAAUUAGAUUGCCACAGGCCUUACCCAGCUCCUUAGCACCCUUUAUUCCCUUGCAAGGGCUGAGGCUCUGGUGUCUGUGCAGGAGGCUACUACUGGGAGGCAAAAAACAACCAGCCAGCCCAGGCAGGCAGAAAAGACUUCCCCAGGAGGGUCUCAAGGUGGAGAAGGUUGGUUAUAUUGUUCCACAAAAGGGUAUUUUACUUCUCCUCCAGAGCAAGGGGGAGUGAGUCACACUUUCUUCCCUGAUCUGCCCCUGCAGAGGUGUAGUUUAUACAUCAGUCCCUAAUGAUUACAGCAUUAGGAUCUAGCCCUACCUUUAACUGGGAAUUUCAGAGGCAUCCAACAAUAAAAGGCAAACAGUAAAAGCAUAGCAAAGAAAAAAAAUGCAUACAGAUUUCAGGCCCAAAGUAGUAGUCUGGUGCUGUAACUGUUAGAGGACACAUCCUCUCUUUAAAACAUGAAAAUCAGUUAAAAUGAAGAUAAAAAGAAAUAAAUAAGAAAUAAUAAAAAAUAACUGGGAAUCUACCAUGCUGUCAUACAGUGACAAGUUUUAUUUUAUAUUACCUGUUUAUGCAAACCAAAAUUUCCCCCCAUAAAUCCCACCCAUCUCUCUCACUAUGUUAAGACAUCAUUUGAAUUUGUGCAUCAGUUUCACACAAAUAUAUAUUUGUAUGUAUAUAUACAUAUAUACCUACAUACACAUAUUUGUAUGAAAAUAUACACAUAUUUGUUAACACACACACACACAUUUCUAUUCUGUCCAUGAAACCAGCUUUUCAGUAUCUUUUAACAUCAACUACUGUAGUUCUUAGAAACUUUAAUUAUUUAACUGACUGCUCAUGAAAGCUCUGACCCUCCAAUAGGUGUGUAAUUUUAAAUGGAUAUCAGUUAAUUGAAAGAGGAAGCCAGUCUCCUCAAAUACAUAAAUGACUGUCAUGUGCUGACUAUGCUCUCUUUCUGUUUGGCUCUCUUUGAGUAACCCAUCAGUAACCCAAACCUGCUACUACAAGUAGGUCGGACCAAAGAGAUCAGGAUUUAAGCUCAAAAAGCUUAUGGAGGACAAUUUGGUGUCAGUCUUGCAACAAAAUCCAUCCCCUUAGCUAGUGCAUAAUUCAGUUGACCAUAACAACAGGCUGAUUUGGUGUGGAAGCAAGGUUUUGUGUGGGUGGAUCUUUCUGCAAUAUCAGAUCCUUAAUCUAGAGUCUUCCUACUGUAUCUGUCAUUUCGUUUGUCAGGCCUUUAUAAAGCACCUAAACAUCAAGUGUGAAUGAAUAAAAUAUUCAAGUACUGGAGCGCUAGGUACUUCAUUUAAUAUUGUACAGCACAUUGAAGAUGAAAAGAUGUUUAAGUGCUAAGUGUUAUUAAAUGUGUACUAUUUAUGCAGUGCACAUUCACAGUUGCUACUCAGGUUUCUCGUGCAAAUCUCUGUUUGGAGGCUAUUUAAAGAGCUAUUUUUCCAUCUGACAAGGUAUAACGGUUCAUCUUUAGAGAGUAUUAUAGUCUAUCCUCAGUACUGAGGGACUGUUGAAUUCAGAGGCAAUUUAGCUCUUGUGUAUUCAAACUAAGAGCUUUUCGGCACAGGGAACUCAACACCAGGUGUAUGCAUGCCUUCAACUUCAACAAGUUACCACUAUUGCACUAGUGCCAGCAUGAAGUGUACCUGGCUUCUUCAGGGCAUAAUUUUUUAAGUAACAUGAAGGAACAUCAGAAAACAAAGGACUGCAAUGUCACAAGAGGACAUACGCUUUAAAAAUUGUCAAUACGGGAAAGAACUGCAGCAGCAAAUAAAAACUGGCAGCAAUAGUA